AUGCCUUGGAGCUAUCCAUUGAAGAAUCUGGACAGGGAAUGGACAAGUAUUUAAGGACAAAACUAAAGAACAAAGAUGUACAGUCUGAAGAUGGGGAGUUGACUCAAAACAUCAUCCAAAUGCUGAUGGCCUACUUCAAUGAAAGAACAGAGGGACUGGUACUCUUUGCUGAUAUGUCUGCCACUGCAGCUGAUGUAGAGUGAACCCUGACCCUCCCAACCACUCCACGACUGAUUCUACUGGUUGCUGGUGAUGGAGUCACAUUGGGCCACUGGAUGAUCAGCAUUGAAAGCCAGGUCAUCUGUGAAGGCACCCAAAAAACCUUCAUCUCAGGGCUUGCUGCAGUUUUCGCAACAUUCUACGUGUUCAACCUGGAAUACCAAGAAGAAGCUGCAAGGACCCUGGAGUUUGUGCAAAGGCGCCUCAUUGGGAUCAAUCCCAAAAGGGGAGGAAAGACCAGCCAGGGAAAAGUGGUGUCAAAGAGGACGGGGAAGCUGGUCCACAAAAAGGCAACAACGGUGAAUCCCCAUGUGGCCACUCUCCUAAAAAAUUUGAUGGACUUUGAGUGGGGGUUUAUUUAGUUCAAACUGUCUCAGGUGCCCAUGGUCAAUUUUUUUACUCACAGUUGUUGAAAACCUGUUUAUGUUUAGUUUUUAUUGUUGUGAAAUGUGUGUAAUGAAGUUAGCUUUUACUUUGUUCUUAGCUGCUAUGCAGUGACUUUAACUGAACUGUUUCAAUGUUUCGGUGAACGGAGGAAGGAAGAGGAAAAAAUAACAAGCAGUAAAGUGAAGAGGAUUUGAAUUGGCUGAUGAUUUCUAUUCUGUUUGCAAACAGUCAAACCAGCCUCGAUCAAUUUUGACCCAGUAGGACAACACAAAGUUUAAUAAAUGUAAUGUGAUCUAAAUCCCAUGUCAUAGUUCAAGAAAAAAUAUGACAGUCAAGUAAUGAUGCUUGUGGAUUUUAUGGAUACUACAAAAGUUCAGUUUUAA